GAUGAACGCUGGCGGCGUGCCUAAUACAUGCAAGUCGAGCGAACGGACGAGAAGCUUGCUUCUCUGAUGUUAGCGGCGGACGGGUGAGUAACACGUGGAUAACCUACCUAUAAGACUGGGAUAACUUCGGGAAACCGUAGCUAAUACCGGAUAAUAUUUUGAACCGCAUGGUUCAAAAGUGAAAGACGGUCUUGCUGUCACUUAUAGAUGGAUCCGCGCUGCAUUAGCUAGUUGGUAAGGUAACGGCUUACCAAGGCAACGAUGCAUAGCCGACCUGAGAGGGUGAUCGGCCACACUGGAACUGAGACACGGUCCAGACUCCUACGGGAGGCAGCAGUAGGGAAUCUUCCGCAAUGGGCGAAAGCCUGACGGAGCAACGCCGCGUGAGUGAUGAAGGUCUUCGGAUCGUAAAACUCUGUUAUUAGGGAAGAACAUAUGUGUAAGUAACUGUGCACAUCUUGACGGUACCUAAUCAGAAAGCUACGGCUAACUACGUG
rnacentral:rRNA from 1 species